rnacentral:rRNA from 1 species
UUGUAAAGUACUUUCAGCAGUGAGGAAGGCGGGGUACGUUAAUAGCGUAUUCGUUUGACGUUAGCUGCAGAAGAAGCACCGGCUAACUCCGUGCCAGCAGCCGACGGUAAUACGGGAGGGUGCGAGUCGUUAAUCGGAAUUACGUGGGCGUAAAGCGCAUGCAGGUGGUUUGUUAAGUCAGAUGUGAAAGCCCCGGGGCUCAACCUCGGAAUUGCAUUUGAAACUGGCAGACUAGAGUACUGUAGAGGGGGUAGAAUUUCAGGUGUAGCGGUGAAAUGCGUAGAGAUCUGAAGGAAUACCGGUGGCGAAGGCGGCCCCCUGGACAGAUACUGACACUCAGAUGCGAAAGCGUGGGGAGCAAACAGGAUUAGAUACCCUGUAG